ACUGACCUGGUUGUCGGGUGGCAGAGCACAGCCCUGCUCUAAUACUCGAUACUAAAAAGGGAGCACCAAAAUGCCAUGGGUGGAAAUGGUGUGGGAGGACCUGCAGUGGAAGUGUGUUAGCAAUGCACAUUCCAUCACCUUUCCAUAGAAAAUGAUGCAAGUGCUGAAAGUACUAAAAAGAGUCAUUUUUCUUUUCCAGCAAAAGCUGUGCCUCUGUAGCACUGACAAUCUAACGUCCUGCCAGUAAGACAUAAAUACCGACAGACAAAUCUUCUGGAUGAAAUGAGAGCGUUUUCCCAUCCACUACUCACAUCAUCAGAGAGGGAAUGGGAAAGAUGCUACCAACAUCUUGACCUCAAGACAUAUUUCAUAGAGAAGAUGAAGCCGAUACAGUAGUAGCUUUAUGUCUACAUGCGUAAAGGCAACCAUCAAUCACGAGCACAAAUGCCUCCUUACAGCCUGGUUGUGCUGGGCCAGAGAUAACGGCAGUAUCGGGUCCCAGAGCUUCACGCCACAACACUCACCGAUAUGGGACAUUGGAAUGGGGUAAUUGCGCUUGGCCGGUGCGUUGUAGAUCACAGCUGCUGUUGCACCCCUCCUGGCUGCCACCUUGAUCUUUUCAGCAAAAGUGCAAUUGCCUCUUUCAAUCAGUGCGAUCCACGGCGGUUCCGUGAUGGUGAACUGGGUGUUCCAGUCACAGGCUUGAAGACUGGCGGCUUUGGGAAUGGCCACGAAGCCCUGAGCACUCAGCAGAGGAGAGUUUAACCCGUACAGGCCGCAUUCACACUGCUCGGACGCAGACCUGUUGCUGGUGCUGUUGAAGUAGAGCAAACUGACAAAGGCACGCUCCGCAGUGGUCUCUGUAGUCCUGAACAGUACACCAACAAUCACCAGGAAGCAGACGGGACUGAACUUAUUUUCUUGCUUCAUUGCUUAUUCUCCUACGCACAAAACGCAGAAGUCUAUGGAUAUUUUCAGCCAGCGGUGGCCAUGGUUAGCCCACAGCCUGCUGGUUAGUUUGAAAUUUCAGUGCCAACAGGAAUCCGACACCACCCACAGCUACUCAAUGCGUCAACACACUUAUCUCGAGUGGGGGCAGGGAAGGAGCGGAAGGCACACCUGCCUAUUGUGAUGCAGACACGCGGAACACAGGAACUUCCAAGCAACCCUCAGCUCUAACUUGCUGCUCUUCUCUCAGGAAGCACAGAUCUCCUCUGAGAUCCCGCCGAAUUGAGAUCUCCUCUGAGAUCUGGCCGAAUUUGGGCUGCAAUGCUGUUUGCUAAGAGAUUGCUCAAGCCUGCUGCUCCAGGAAGUCUCACAUUUCAACCUGAAUGUCACUCCUGAAGGACUAGAUCAUCUUUCAUUGUGUGAUGCAAGCGCUCAUCUCACAAUGCGAUGUGCGAAGUAAAUCACCUCACUGAAAAGGUCA